rnacentral:rRNA from 1 species
AUUGAACGUUGGCGGCAGGCCUAACACAUGCAAGUCGAGCGGAUGAAGGGAGCUUGCUCCUGGAUUCAGCGGCGGACGGGUGAGUAAUGCCUAGGAAUCUGCCUGGUAGUGGGGGAUAACGUCCGGAAACGGGCGCUAAUACCGCAUACGUCCUGAGGGAGAAAGUGGGGGAUCUUCGGACCUCACGUUAUCAGAUGAGCCUAGGUCGGAUUAGCUAGUUGGUGGGGUAAAGGCCUACCAAGGCGACGAUCCGUAACUGGUCUGAGAGGAUGAUCAGUCACACUGGAACUGAGACACGGUCCAGACUCCUACGGGAGGCAGCAGUGGGGAAUAUUGGACAAUGGGCGAAAGCCUGAUCCAGCCAUGCCGCGUGUGUGAAGAAGGUCUUCGGAUUGUAAAGCACUUUAAGUUGGGAGGAAGGGCAGUAAGUUAAUACCUUGCUGUUUUGACGUUACCAACAGAAUAAGCACCGGCUAACUUCGUG